rnacentral:rRNA from 1 species
AUACGUAGGGGGCGAGCGUUGUCCGGAAUUAUUGGGCGUAAAGCGCGCGCAGGCGGCUUCUUAAGUCUGAUGUGAAAUCUUGCGGCUCAACCGCAAAAGGUCAUUGGAAACUGGGGAGCUUGAGUGCAGAAGAGGAGAGUAGAAUUCCACGUGUAGCGGUGAAAUGCGUAGAGAUGUGGAGGAAUACCAGUGGCGAAGGCGGCUCUCUGGUCUGUUACUGACGCUGAGGUGCGAAAGCAUGGGGAGCAAACAGGAUUAGAUACCCUGGUAGUCCAUGCCGUAAACGAUGAAUGCUAGGUGUUAGGGGGGUCCAACCCCUUAGUGCUGAAGUUAACACAUUAAGCAUUCCGCCUGGGGAGUACGACCGCAAGGUUGAA